AUUGAACGCUGGCGGCAUGCCUUACACAUGCAAGUCGAACGGCAGCGCGGACUUCGGUCUGGCGGCGAGUGGCGAACGGGUGAGUAAUACAUCGGAACGUACCCUGUUGUGGGGGAUAACUAGUCGAAAGAUUAGCUAAUACCGCAUACGACCUGAGGGUGAAAGUGGGGGACCGCAAGGCCUCACGCAGCAGGAGCGGCCGAUGUCUGAUUAGCUAGUUGGUGGGGUAAAGGCCCACCAAGGCGACGAUCAGUAGCUGGUCUGAGAGGACGAUCAGCCGCACUGGGACUGAGACACGGACCAGACUCCUACGGGAGGCAGCAGUGGGGAAUUUUGGACAAUGGGGGCAACCCUGAUCCAGCAAUGCCGCGUGUGUGAAGAAGGCCUUCGGGUUGUAAAGCACUUUUGUCCGGAAAGAAAUCGCGCUGGUUAAUACCUGGCGUGGAUGACGGUACCGGAAGAAUAAGCACCGGCUAACUACGUGCCAGCAGCCGCCGUAA
rnacentral:rRNA from 1 species